UACGUAGGGGGCAAGCGUUUGUCCGGAAUCAUUGGGCGUAAAGAGCGUGUAGGCGGCCCGGUAAGUCCGCUGUGAAAGUCGGGGGCUCAACCCUCGAAUGCCAGUGGAUACUGUCGGGCUAGAGUGCGGAAGAGGCGAGUGGGAAUUCCUGGUGUAGCGGUGAAAUGCGCAGAUAUCAGGAGGAACACCAGUGGCGAAGGCGGCAUCCUGGACCGAGAUUGACGCUGAGGCGCGAAAGCUAGGGGGAGCAAACGGG
rnacentral:rRNA from 1 species